CACUCCUGCGGGAGGCAGCAGUGGGGAAUAUUGGACAAUGGGCGAAAGCCUGAUCCAGCAAUGCCGCGUGAGUGAUGAAGGCCUUAGGGUUGUAAAGCUCUUUUACCCGGGAUGAUAAUGACAGUACCGGGAGAAUAAGCCCCGGCUAACUCCGUGCCAGCAGCCGCGGUAAUACGGAGGGGGCUAGCGUUGUUCGGAAUUACUGGGCGUAAAGCGCGCGUAGGCGGCUUUGUAAGUUAGAGGUGAAAGCCCGGAGCUCAACUUCGGAAUUGCCUUUAAGACUGCAUCGCUAGAAUCGUGGAGAGGUGAGUGGAAUUCCGAGUGUAGAGGUGAAAUUCGUAGAUAUUCGGAAGAACACCAGUGGCGAAGGCGACUCACUGGACACGUAUUGACGCUGAGGUGCGAAAGCGUGGGGAGCAAACAGGAUUAGAAACCCUUGUAGUCCCA
rnacentral:rRNA from 1 species